GCCUCUGCACUGGGAUUCCUCCAGCCCCAGCAAGUCCCUCAGGUGGUCCCAGCCUCUGUGUCCGCCUCUGCUCUCCCAGAGCGCCUCAGGCAGAGCAGCCAGGAUGGGGACCAGGCCCGCCUUACCGGGAAUGAGCCUGUCACCUGCUCCUCCCACCCCGCAGCAGGUUCCCGUGGACCUGUGGCUGCUUGGAGAGGCCGGGGGUCACAGAUGGCGCCAGGACACUGUGCCUCUGUCGGGCUGACAGUGACUUCAGGAAUGCUCUCCUCCUGCCGCACUCUGGACCUGUUGGCCAUGCUGUUCAACUUAGCAAAUGUUCUUCCUCACCGCCAACCACAGUGGCCAGGUGCAAGUCCCUCUUGGACAACCUCAGCCCUGGAUACACCGCCUUAUUUACCACUUCAUCAUGCAACCAGCAAGGCUCUGGUCCAAGUAGGAACGGAUGGUAAACUGGGCAGUGAUGAUGGUGGAGAUGGUGGUGGUGGUGAUGAUGAUGACAAUGAUAAUGAUGAUGGUGAUGGCAGUGGUGGUAGUGGUGAUGGUGCUGGUGGUGCUGGUGAUAUGAUGAUGGCAGUGAUGGUAGUGAUAAUAGUGAUGAUAAUGUGAUGGUAGUGAUGGUGGUGGCAGUAAUAGUGAUGGUGAUGGUGGCAGAGAGGGUGGUGACAGUGAUGUCAGUGGUAAUGGUGGUGGUGAUGGUAAUGGUGAUGGUGGUGGUGGUGAUGAUGGUGGUGAUAGUGGUAGUGAUGGUGUGGUGGAAAUGAUGGCUGUGAUCGUGAUGAUGAUGGUAGUGAUGGUUACAAUGAUAGUGGUGGUAGUGGUGGUGAUGGCAAUGAUGGUAUUGAUGGUGAUGGUGGUGGUGGUGGUAGUGAUGGUGGUGGUGGUAGAUGGUGGCAGUGAAGACGGUGGUAAUGGUAGAUGGUGGCAGUGAAGAUGGUGGUAAUGAUGGUAAUGGUGAUAGUGGUGCUGGUGGUGAUGGUGAUGGUGGUGGUGGUGGUAGUGAUGGUGAUGAUGAUGGUGAUAGUGAUGGUGGUGGUGGUGGUGGUGCUGUUAGUGGUGGUGGUGGUGUUGCUGGUGGUGUUGGUGAUGGUGGUGGUGGUGGUGGUGAUGGUCAUGGUGGUGGUGGUGGUGGUGGUGGUGAUGGUGGUGGUGGUGGUGGUCAUGGUGAUGGUGGUGAUAGAGCCAAGAGGCUCUUGGGACCAUAUGGCUGGGACUGAAGGCAGUGUAGACACAGCUGACCCUUCAUGAGGGCUCUGCCUGGCUCUAGUAGCUUCUAUCCUGAAAGCCUGGUGAGUGUCUGAAGGAUGGUCCCCUUGUUAAGUGAGGGCAGGCUUGUGGAUUUCAGGGGCCCCAGAGGCCUGGGAGGACAUUUAGUGGGGGCGGGGUCCUCACCAAAGACUCAAUGGGCUCUGGAGUUCCUGUGUCUCCUGAGACCUGCGCCUGACGUCACCCUCUGGAUGGCCUCUGGCCUCUACCUGGGCUGGGGUGUCCCAGGAACAGAGAAGGACCCAACUAUUGUUGGGGACCCCAGCACUCUCUGUCCAACCGAGCCUGGGGCCUGGGUGGCAAAUGUGGGCAUUGCGAGAGUGGCAGGACUGGGAGGAGGCCCAAGCCCUGGGUAGGGCCUGGGGGGUGCCAGGUCCACACCUCCGAGGUGGUGAGUGGUGCAGACAGCUGGUGCCUGUGGGUCCCUAACAAAUGCAGCUGAGAAGUGGGCCCUCAGAUGUCCACGUGGCAUAACCCUGCUGUGACUGAAGCCGCCAGCCUGGAUUGAACAUUCUUCAAGAUUUCUGCCUUCAUUUAACAAAAAGGCCCAUCUGCCGACAAGACCACUGCCACCCUCUGCCACCCUCCACCACCCUCCGCCAGGUCACCAGAAUGCCAGGCCUCACUCAUGAUCAGCUGAGCACCAGCAGGCAGGUGAGAAGAGCCUCCAGUGUGGAGCAGGUCAACCAGCAACAGAGCCAGGGAGACCCAUGGAGUCCAGAGAAAACGGUAACAACGGCAGCAGCACCCAGAGACUGGCUCCCAGUGAGUUAAGCCCAGCCGCGACCCUUGGAUGUGCCAGCUGAUUUAAUACUCAUGAUAAACCCAGUAGGUCAGUGCCAGUAUUAUGAGAGAAGUGAGGCACAGAAUGUCACAUCCACCUCCCCAAAGUCAACAGCUAGGAGUGACAGAGCCAGGAUUCUGCCAGGCAGGUUGGCCUCAGAGGCCACACUUCUUAUCCCAAUAAUAAAAGUGAACAAGAACAGGAUGAAGUUAGAGUGAGAGAGCGAGAGUGGUAACACUCAUGCAAUCAGAGAACAAGAGAAAGCUCAAUGGAAACAUGUAUUCACUGACAGGAUUAAAACACAAAACAACAAAAAGAGAGACGGCCAGGCGCGGUGGCUCACGCCUGUAAUCCCAGCACUUUGGGAGGCCAAGGCAGGCAGAUCCCCUGAGCUCAGG
rnacentral:lncRNA from 1 species